AAUUAAAAUUAUGUUAGUCUUUAUGACUUCUCAAUUGCCAUCCUUUAAUAAAUAGAUUAGUAUCAACUUUUGAACGAAUCUAAUAUUACAAUUGCAAGUUUAGAUCGAUUUACUAAGCUCUUUCAGUACGAUACAAAAAAACAAAAAAGGAAGCAAGAAGUAUACUAAAAACCAUACACUUGCAGAUAUUUGGUUGAGGAAGAUAGAAAGCUAUGUUUUUUGGAUGUAUAGUUUAUACGCCCUUUAUCAAUUUUGAAACUGUAGCUUAGUAUAGAAUGAAGUAGUGUAGAUAUUUGAGCGAACGUCAAGACUAUCAAUUUUAUUGAUUUCC